GGCCCUGAGGAGCCAGUUUGGGGGCCCCAGGACCCUUUUGGGGGCCUCACGAGCCAUUUGGGGGCCUCACGAGCCACUUUGGGGCCCCAGGACCCAAUUUGGGGGCCUCACGAGCCACUUUGGGGCCCCACAUCCCAGUUUGGGGGCCUCACGAGCCACUUUGGGGGCCCCACAUCCCAGUUUGGGGACCUCAUGAGCCAGUUUGGGGGCCCCACAUCCCAGUUUGGGGGCCUCACAAGCCACUUUGGGGGCCCCAGGACCCAGUUUGGGGCCCCACAUCCCAGUUUGGGGGCCUCACAAGCCACUUUGGGGGCCCCAGGACCCAGUUUGGGGCCCCACAUCCCAGUUUGGGGGCCUCACAAGCCACUUUGGGGCCCCAUAUCCCAGUUUGGGGGCCUCACAAGCCAGUUUGGGGCCCCAGGAACCACUUUGGGGGCCCCAGGACCCAGUUUGGGGGCCCCACAUCCCAGUUUGGGGGCCUCAUGAGCCACCCCUGCGCAGGUUAAUUAGCAGCUGGUUUCAGAGGUGGUGCCCCUGAGGAAGAGGAGGAGGAAGAGCCCCAGUGGGGCUCGGGGAAGGUGGGGGGCAGCUGCCCUGCGUGGGGGCACCAGGCUCGUUAAAGCCUGGCCCUGCUCCUUAGCCAGGGCAGUGCAGGGGGCUGGGGUCCACCUUUUGGGGUAACAGGGACCCCUUUUGGGGCAAAAGGGUCUCAUUUUAGAGUGAGGGUCCCUUAGGGGGCUGAGGGUCCCCUUUCAGGGUGAUAGGGUCCCCUUUUGGGGUGACAGGGUCCCCUUUUGGGGCAGAAGGGUCUCAGAGUGAUAGGGUCCCUUAGGGGGCUGAGGGUCCCCUUUUGGGGGGCUGGGGUCCCCUUUUGGGGCAACAGGGUCUCAUUUGAGGGUGAUAGGGUCCCCUUUUGGGGCGACAGGGUCCCCUUUUGGGGUGACAGGGUCUCAUUUGAGGGUGAUAGGGUCCCCUUUUGGGGUGACAGGGUCCCCUUUUGGGGCAAAAGGCUCUCAUUUGAGGGUGAUAGGGUCCCUUAGGGGGCUGAGGGUCCCCUUUUGGGGGGCUGGGGUCCCCUUUUGGGGCAAAAGGCUCUCAUUUGAGGGUGAUAGGGUCCCCCUUUGGGGGGCUGGGGUCCCCUUUUGGGGCAAAAGGCUCUCAUUUGAGGGUGAUAGGGUCCCCUUUUGGGGGGCUAGGGUCCCCUUUUGGGGCAAAAGGCUCUCAUUUGAGGGUGAUAGGGUCCCCUUUUGGGGGGCUGGGGUCCCUUUUGGGGUGAUAGGGUCCCCUUUUGGGGGGCUGGGGUCCCCUUUUGGGGUGAUAGGGUCUCAUUUGAGGGUGAUAGGGUCCCCUUUUGGGGGGCUGGGGUCCCCUUUUGGGGCAAAAGGCUCUCACUUGAGGGUGAUAGGGUCCCCUUUUGGGGGGCUGGGGUCCUCUUUUGGUGCAAAAGGCUCUCAUUUGAGGGUGAUAGGGUCCCCUUUUGGGGGGCUGGGGUCCCCUUUUGGGGCAAAAGGCUCUCACUUGAGGGUGAUAGGGCCCCCUUUUGGGGGGCUGGGGUCCCCUUUUGGGGCGAUAGGCUCUCAUUUGAGGGCGAUAGGGUCCCCUUUUGGGGGGCUGGGGUCCCCUUUUGGGGCAAAAGGCUCUCAUUUGAGGGUGAUAGGGUCCCUUAGGGGGCGAUAGGGUCCCCUUUUGGGGGGCUGGGGUCCCCCAGGCUCAUCGGCCCCUCUGUUUGCGGCGAAGCCCCACGCGGGGAGCCCGGGCGCUCCUGGUCCGCAGGCGGCGACGAGCCGGGCUGGCGGUGGGGAGCAGGAGCGGGGAGGCGGGGCGGGGGGGGAAACCAGCGCAGAGAAAGAACCGGCGCCAGGGAGGGGUUUGUUAAAAAUUUUGAGUUUAUUUUACCGGAAAAGUGGGGUCGGGGAACGCUAAACGCCGCAGGGCGAGCGCCGAACACGGGCAGCCUUCCCACGCCGGCGCGGCGCAGGGGCAGCCCGGCGCGGCGGCCUCGAGUCAGCUACGGUAUUUCGUAUUAAAAAGCUACGAGUGGAUUAUUCACCCUCUUAAAAAAUAAAAGGAAAAAAAAAAAAGAAA